AUGGCGGCGGCCGCGGCGCUCCCGGGCGCGGGCGGGCCUCCCGCGGGCGGCGGGGCCGGGGGCGGCGGGGGCGCGGGCGGCGGGUCCCCGCCGGGCGGCUGGGCCGUGGCGCGCCUCGAGGGCCGCGAGUUCGAGUACCUGAUGAAGAAGCGCUCGGUGACCAUCGGGCGCAACUCGUCGCAGGGCUCGGUGGACGUGAGCAUGGGCCACUCGAGCUUCAUCUCGCGGCGCCACCUCGAGAUCUUCACGCCCCCGGGCGGCGGCGGCCAUGGCGGGGCGGCCCCGGAGCCGUCCGCGCAGCCCGGGCCCGACACCGGCGGCGACUUCUACCUGCGCUGCCUCGGCAAGAACGGCGUGUUCGUGGACGGCGUGUUCCAGAGGCGCGGGGCGCCGCCGCUGCAGCUGCCGCGCGUGUGCACGUUUAGGUUCCCAAGCACAAACAUCAAGAUCACGUUCACUGCCCUGUCCAGUGAGAAGAGGGAGAAGCAGGAGGCUCCUGAGUCCCCAGUGAAGCCCGUGCAGGCCCACAUCUCGCCCCUGACCAUCAACAUUCCAGACACCAUGGCCCACCUCAUCAGCCCCCUUCCCUCCCCCACAGGAACCAUCAGUGCUGCAAACUCCUGCCCAUCCAGCCCCCGGGGAGCAGGGUCUUCGGGGUACAAAAUGGGCCGUGUGAUACCAGCUGACCUCAAUUUAAUGGCCGACAACUCCCAGCCAGAAAAUGAAAAGGAAGCUUCUGGUGGAGACAGCCCAAAGGAUGAUUCAAAGCCACCUUAUUCCUAUGCACAAUUAAUUGUACAAGCAAUUACAAUGGCUCCUGACAAACAACUCACCCUAAAUGGGAUUUAUACUCACAUCACUAAAAAUUACCCAUACUACAGGACUGCGGACAAGGGCUGGCAGAAUUCAAUUCGCCACAAUCUCUCUCUGAAUCGGUAUUUCAUCAAAGUACCACGUUCCCAGGAAGAACCAGGCAAAGGCUCAUUCUGGAGGAUAGACCCUGCCUCUGAAAGCAAAUUAAUAGAGCAGGCUUUUAGGAAAAGACGGCCUAGGGGCGUGCCUUGCUUUAGAACCCCUCUGGGACCGCUCUCGUCUAGAAGUGCCCCAGCCUCUCCCAAUCACGCUGGAGUGCUGUCUGCUCACUCCAGUGGUGCCCAGACCCCCGAGAGCCUGUCGAGGGAAGGUUCCCCGGCCCCCCUGGAGCCGGAGCCCAGCGCGUCACAGCCCAAACUGGCCGUCAUCCAGGAGGCACGGUUUGCUCAGAGUGCACCAGGCUCUCCCCUGUCUAGUCAGCCUGUUUUAAUCGCUGUGCAGCGGCAGCUGCCGCCGACGAUCAAGCCUGUCACCUACACGGUCGCCGCCCCCGUGACCACCGCGACCUCCCAGCAGCCUGUCGUGCAGACGGUGCACGUCGUCCACCAGAUCCCCGCGGUGUCCGUCACCGGCGUGGCCGGCCUCGCCCCGGCCAGCACGUACACUGUUGCCGGCCAGGCCGUGGUCACGCAGGCGGCCGUGCUGGCCCCUCCUAAGGCAGAGCCGCAAGAGAAUGGAGACCACAAAGAAGUAAAAGUAAAAGUGGAACCUAUUCCUGCGAUUAGCCAUGCCACGCUGGGCGCCGCUAGCCGGAUCAUUCAGACGCCACAGACCACCCCCGUCCAGACGGUCACCAUCGUGCAGCAGGCUCCUCUGGGUCAGCAUCAGCUACCAAUAAAAACUGUGACGCAGAACGGGACUCAUGUGGUGCCAGUCCCUGCCGCCGUCCACGGCCAGGUGAACAACGCAGGGGCGAGUCCUCUGCACAUGCUGGCAACACACGCAUCGGCGUCCGCCUCCCUGCCCACAAAGCGCCAGAACGGCGACCAGUCGGAGCAGCCGGAGCUGAAGCGGGUCAAGACGGAAGACGGCGAGAGCAUCGUCAUCGCGCUGAGUGUGGACGCGCCGCCGACGGCCGGCAGGGAGAAGGGUGUCCAGAACUAGCGACUGGGACAGCUUUUCUUACUUUAAUAUCAACUCUGUGGUGCCAAAAGGAGACACUGCCUCUCACCGACGCUCGGAACGCCGUCUCGGAAAUCCCCCUCAGCCUUUCAGAACUGAAGCAGUCCUAAAGCUGACUUCUCUCCUACAAGACACAAAAGUGAGAUGAAACAAAGGGCCUAGUGCACUGGAGCAAAGGCACCGAGGAGCUGCUGUGCUGGCCGUGGUGUGGGCUCUGCCGCCAGAGAGGGGUGUUCGCACGUGGAAGAGGCUCAGGGGGCACAGGUGGUGAUAACGGAAUCUCACUGAUUUUAUCGAUGACAGUGCAGUUGUGAAACCUACUUUGAGGUUGUGGCUGUUGCCACCAUUUCUUCUAAGGACCCGCCUUUCAGCCUAAGAAUCAAGAUCACUGCUGACAACUUGAGAUCUACGCCCCCGUGGCAGCGCAAGCUCCACGCUCUGACACGGUGACCGUCCGGCUACCAGAAAGUCCCCAGUGGGGAUCGCUGGUGUCCUGGAGCUUGCUAACUAACCCUGGCAACCGGGGAAGGUUGGCGCAGGGCCCUGUGGGAGCUCAAGGAAGCUGCGCUGCAGGGCUCACAGACAGAGCUCGUGGGGCGCUUCACUCUGACACAGAGAGACUAGUUCUCCUAACGAAAGGAAGCAUUCACAAUUGGCUUUACAUCUCCUGUCCACGUUGCAUUUAUAGAUACCUUAAAACGCGUAUGGCCUUAACUCCCCUUCUGUCAGACAACGUUACUCUGGUAACUCAUUAGGUUCUCCUUCAAGUUAAACUUGUCCAAACAGGUGUCAAAGCAGCUAUCCUAGAGGAUAAGCUACCUUUAUCCAAGAAACAGACAUAGAAGAGAAGAGCCUCCAGAUAAAGGGGACAGUUCACUAACCAACAGGUCUUUCCUGUAGCAGAAGCACUGCUAAUUAGAGGUAGGCCCACAUUUAGAGCCAUGUUUAGUCUACGACGAAGACAUCAGUGCCCAUCGAGAGCCUACCUGCAGCCACAUAGUAAGUUCAGGCCUAAACGGCUGUAAGAACCACGGCGCACAGUGACUGACCCCGUAGGCCACUGUCCAGCACACGCAGGUUUCCGUGGAAUGCUGUGCUACAAGGACUCACCGCUUGUUGCUUCCUCCGUGUUUACAUCGCUGCCACACAACAGAUGUUAGCCAGGGUCUCAGGUGACCUCUGAGGAGAUGGGUAAUCCCGUGGGCAUAAGCACACUUUGCCCUGUGCCUUCCCAGGGUUACAGCUGACAUCCCUGAACAGAAUGAAGCAUUUUCCCAGUACUCUGAAAAGUAAAUAGCAGCAGGCAGAUUGGGACUGUGGGACUAAAACUGUAGAAGAACCAGUAUGGUGAUGAUUUUCCCAUAUUUUCCUCUCUCGUAACCCCCCGGGCAGCCUGAAUACAGAACUGUACUUAGGAGCAAACACCACGGACCCGGGAGACACCUCCUCCCUCUCUACCUGGAGAGUGCUGGGAAGGGCCCGUGGACACCGGGGAGAUCUGCUCGGACAGCUCUGGACACACUGAGGGCUCAGAGACGGGAGACUAGAAAAAGGGACACCUGUAUACUCCAAAGAGGGUGUGUGUGUGUGGGGGGGGGGGGGGGUCCUUGUGAGAUCUUUUUUCUCGCCACUUUGGCCCCAAGCUGGACCCAAUCAGAGAGAGUACAACACCACAGGGAGGUAAAACCUAAAAUUUUUUUAGCCAAAAACCAGGCAAAGGGGUAUCUGGAAGAUGGAAGUAUAGAAGAGCUCCUCCCCCCUCCCAUAGGAUACCCUGAAUUCUCCCUAAGCUGUGUACACCCGGAGCUGUGGCGGCAGAGACUUCAUUAACUGAGCUACCAUGUAGACUGGCCCUGGUGGUGCACACAGAUGUAGGCCCAGCUAGCACCGUGCGCUUGGAGAACAGCGGACUCGAACCAAGGCCCAUCCAGGGGAGGAAAGCGUGUGUGGUCGGAACCUAGUCAGACUGCCUGCUUCCAAAAACAAAAACCGAAAAACAAAACAUACCAACAUUUUCUAGAGGAUUUUAAUACUCAGAGUCAACAUACAAAGAGCCAGGAAAGUCUAAAAGGAAAAGAAAGUCAACAGAUGUCAACUUAAAUGUGUUGGUGGAAUGCUCAGAAAAAGAUAUAUUAGAGCCUUUUAAAACUCUAGUCAUUAUAACCAUACUCCCAUGAAAGAAGGGCAAAUGCUGUCGAAAUAAACCAGAAGUUACAAACUUUAAAGUGAAAAUUUAGUGGAUAAACAUUUGGAAACAAACCAAGCCUUGGGGACUUGUGGGACAAUAUAAAAAGAUCUGAUGUGUGCAUUAAUGGAUUCCCAACAAAAAGAGAAAGACAUUGGUGUAAAAAUACUGUUUUUUACCAAAAUGGUUGGAAGUAUCCCAAAUUUGGCAAAAGACAAAUUUAAGGAUUCACAAAGCUCAGUACACCCCCAAAAGUUAAAACUAUGUCAAAACACCACUGACUAAUGAACCUGAAGACUUUUUAUCUUGAAAGCAGCCCAAAAAAAGGGACUAAUUUUAUACAGAGUAACGACAAUGUGAACAACAACAGAUUUCUCAUCAGAAACCAGAGCCCAUGUGACUGGACAGUUUUUUUAAAGACUGAAAGUAAUCAUCUAGAAUACUGUACCCCUAGAAAUACCAGGAAUACAGAUGAAAUAGAUAUUCCCACAUGAAGGUGAACUAACAGUCCUGAACCAGCAGAGCUGCUCAGAAAGCAAUGCUAAGGGAAGUUCUUCAGGCAAAAAGUAAACCACAGAACGAAUCUUGGAACUUCAGGAAUGAGAUCGGGGUGCCUGGGUGGCUCAGUUGGCUAAAUGUCCGCCUUCAGCUCAGGUCAUCUCACGGUUUGUGGGGUUGAGCCCUGCAUCAGGCCUGCUUCGGUUCUCUCUUCCCCUCUCUCUACCUCCC